CACCAGGGCCGCUCGGUAGGCUCGGCUCCUCGUCCUCCCCUUCCCUCCCUCCCCCGCGGCCCCCCGCCGGGAAUGACCUUCUAUCUGCCGGCCCUCUGAGACACCAGCCGCCGCCUCCCCAGAACCACCACCACCACCACCACCACCACCACCGGACGAUGGCCAAGUCCAAGAAGGCGAGCAGCAAGAGCUGCAAGCACCAGAAGCCACCCAGUCGGCGGAACAUCAAGCAGGGCAAGCCGUGCCGGAAGAUGAAGAAGAGGAAAGGGUACGUCCGGAUCUGCACCACCUACUACUACCGGAAGAGAUGAGCAACCUCCACGUCGGCCGGCGCCUCACCCUCUGGGCAGUCGCCCCGGGGUGCAGAGUCGGGGAGGCCUGCGACGCCCCUCACCGAACGCCAACCCUCCCCGGCCGGCCGCCAUCCUCCACCACGACCACCAGCUUCUGGGGAACCAGUUCCAUCCAACCAAGAUUCCAGAGAGAUCCACCGGCUGCAGAUAGAGUCGGGAUAAGAUCUUGGAGCCUCCCCCUACCCUUAGAGCGAUGCCGGACUUCUCAAUAAAUCCCUAAAAGGCA